rnacentral:rRNA from 1 species
GAUGAACGCUGGCGGCGUGCCUAAUACAUGCAAGUCGAGCGAACAGACGAGGAGCUUGCUCCUCUGACGUUAGCGGCGGACGGGUGAGUAACACGUGGAUAACCUACCUAUAAGACUGGGAUAACUUCGGGAAACCGGAGCUAAUACCGGAUAAUAUAUUGAACCGCAUGGUUCAAUAGUGAAAGACGGUUUUGCUGUCACUUAUAGAUGGAUCCGCGCCGCAUUAGCUAGUUGGUAAGGUAACGGCUUACCAAGGCGACGAUGCGUAGCCGACCUGAGAGGGUGAUCGGCCACACUGGAACUGAGACACGGUCCAGACUCCUACGGGAGGCAGCAGCAGGGAAUCUUCCGCACUGGGCGAAAGCCUGCCGGAGCAACGCCGCGUGAGUGAUGAAGGUCUUCGGAUCGUAAAACUCUGUUAUUAGGGAAGAACAAAUGUGUAAGUAACUAUGCACGUCUUGACGGUACCUAAUCAGAAAGCAACGGCUAACUACGUG